CAUCCCCUUGGGAUGUGGGCACUGUUGUGUUUUCUGACCUGACCCCUGUGUUGCUGCAAUUACAUUUGUUACUUUGAGUGCAGGAUAUGUUUUAUGGGACCUGCAGCCAUAAUUCCCCACAACGUUCACAUCAGCCCAGUGUCAGGGUCCUCACCCAGUGUGGGACAAAUUUCAGAGAUCCAAACACAUCAGUCCCAAUUUUGUGGUGAUGAACACAAAGUCCAUAUACUGGAUUGGGAUCUUGGAUACUUUUCUCUGGCAAUAGAGGAGAAACACCCUUCUGCCAUAUCAAUAAAUGGAAUGUCAUCCGACUGUUUUUACACAAAAAGAGUCAGAAAGCAGUUUUCUUAAUCUCUGAGAGAGUUUUUCUUUGUGUAUUAAUUGGUGUUAUUUAGAAGCACAAUAGUGACUCUUAAGCUGGGAGUCCCAUCACGAGGCACUCGGAUCUGGAGCUAGGGCAAGGCACUUAACCUCUCCUUGCUUUAGUUUGUGAAACAAACAGCACUAUUUUAACUACUUUUCAAGGAUAUUAGAUAAAAUUAAUUAGUUUAGUAUUUGUACUGCAAUAAAGGUCCAUAUAAUUGGAAAGUCUUGUAAGAAUCUCGAUCGUUUUAGUUAUGUUUUGCGUUGAUUAACUUUGAAGGGUUAGUUUUGAUACUUUGUGCUGUAUUUGAAGUGUGCUAUUGUUUGAUCUCUAUAAAUAACAGCUGACUUUCCAAGCUCCUGUAGCGAACCUGUUUAGUCUCUGUGUCUGCCAAUGCCCUCUACUGGUUUGAAACACAAUCGCUCAGCAGAGGGUAUUGCAGGGAAACUGUAACAUUUAUGUGGUUUUCCUUGGGGAGAAGUAGAAUUUGGGUUGUGUAGCCGGGCUCUCUGCGAAGGGCGAGGAGCUGCACCCUGGGCAGGUGACACCUGGGUGACUCCUGUCCUGCUGCACACACAUAAGACCGUGCCAGGUGUUUUGUGUGGCCUUCUGUGGUUUUGUUUCCCUGGCUUUGCUGUUCUCCCAUGAAUGCCAGGCUCCCAGGUAGCAAUCCGGAGAGGGAAGGAGGCAGUUACUUGAGAUUCACUCAGCACAAAGCUGCUGUGUAGUUGUUCCACCAACACCACCCCUCCAAGGAGCCUCUCUGCUCUUCCCCCUGGUCCAGGGCCUUCCAAAAGUGAGGGGUGCUUGUGUUGCCAGGCUGUGGUACAAAUAACCCUGGGGGCACAGGAGCUGCAGAGGUAAUGAAGUGCCUUGAGGAAAAAGUCUUAACUAUCAAGGGAUGGAUCCACUCCCCCUGCCACAAACCAGAGGUCACGUGGCUGAGGAAUGUGUAUCCAAAGAUAGUGCUACCUUCCGAGAACUCUACUUACAGUUUACACAGAGCUUGUUUCCAAGAGAAGGAUGUAAUUUAAAAGAUGGAGGCAUCAUCUAUACCAUCCCUUAUCUCUUAACAGCCCAUCAUUUGUGUUCUGGUUGGAUCAGCAGCCAGGUCUCUGCAGCUGUGUGGAGUGGGCAGACAGUUUGACAACCCGAUGAGGAAAACAAGUCAAAAGCACAGAUUGCUGGGGAAUGAAAGUUUCCACUUUCUUGUAUAGCAACAUGGAAAUCCUGCAGGUGGCACGUGCCACCACGUGCAGAUGGAGCAGCAGCAGCACAGGGAGACACUGAGCUGGCAAAAAGCAUUUCCUUGGUGUCCACAUCUGCAGAGAUCUGUGCACACAGAGCUGGCCACCCUCUGCUGUGCAGCUGAGUGCUCUCUGACUGCAGCCUUGCUGGGAAAGCCUCAGCCAAAGCUGCCCCUUUCCCCCCUGGCUCUGAAGCACCGUUACCUUCCUCCUCCUCCUCCUCCUCCUCCUCCUCCUGUACACCUGCACAGGAUAUUUUUUUGGCCGGAAUAAGAUGAGCACAGGUGGUAACAUAAGGCACAUUGCAUCUAGAUUUCACACCUGGUGCACAUAGGGCUUACAAGUUUUAAUCAGUUUUAUGCAAGUUUUUGGCACUCUGGUUUUCUACU